UACGGGGGGGGCAAGCGUUGUUCGGAAUUACUGGGCGUAAAGGGCCAGUAGGCGGCCAACUAAGUCCGACGUGAAAUCCCAAGGCUUAACCUUGGAACUGCGUCGGAUACUGGAUGACUUGAAUUCGGGAGAGGGAUGCAGAAUUCCAGGUGUAGCGGUGAAAUGCGUAGAUAUCUGGAGGAAUACCUGUGGCGAAAGCGGCGCACUGGACCACAACUGACGCUGAGGCGCGAAAGCUAGGGGAGCAAACAGG
rnacentral:rRNA from 1 species